AUGGAGGAAACUCUGAUGCAGCGAUGCCGCGUGAGUGAAGAAGGCCUUUGGGUUGUAAAGCUCUUUUGUAGGGGAAGAUAAUGACUGUACCCUAAGAAUAAGGUCCGGCUAACUUCGUGCCAGCAGCCGCGGUAAUACGAAGGGACCUAGCGUAGUUCGGAAUUACUGGGCGUAAAGCGCGCGUAUGGCCGUUGAGUUAGUUAAUUGUGAAAUCCCAAAGCUUAACUUUGGAACUGCAAUUAAAACUGCUCGACUAGAGUUUGAUAGAGGAAAGCGGAAUACAUAGUGUAGAGGUGAAAUUCGUAGAUAUUAUGUAGAACACCAGUUGCGAAGGCGGCUUUCUGGAUCAACACUGACGCUGAGGCGCGAAAGUAUGGGUAGCAAAGAGGAUUAGAUACCCUCGUAGUCCAUACCAUAAACGAUGAUUGCUAGAUGUUGGAAAUUUAUUUUCAGUAUCGCAGCUAACGCAUUAAGCAAUCCGCCUGGGGAGUACGACCGCAAGGUUAAAACUCAAAUGAAUUGACGG
rnacentral:rRNA from 1 species